UACGUAGGGUGCGAGCGUUGUCCGGAAUUAUUGGGCGUAAAGAGCUCGUAGGCGGUUUGUCGCGUCGGCCGUGAAAUCUCCACGCUUAACGUGGAGCGUGCGGUCGAUACGGGCAGACUUGAGUUCGGUAGGGGAGACUGGAAUUCCUGGUGUAGCGGUGAAAUGCGCAGAUAUCAGGAGGAACACCGGUGGCGAAGGCGGCCCGCUGGGCAACUGCUGACACUGAGGCGCGACAGCGUGGGGAGCAAACAGG
rnacentral:rRNA from 1 species